GAUGAACGCUGGCGGCGUGCCUAAUACAUGCAAGUCGAGCGAACAGACGAGGAGCUUGCUCCUCUGACGUUAGCGGCGGACGGGUUAGUAACACGUGGAUAACCUACCUAUAAGACUGGGAUAACUUCGGGAAACCGGAGCUAAUACCGGAUAAUAUAUUGAACCGCAUGGUUCAAUAGUGAAAGACGGUUUUGCUGUCACUUAUAGAUUGAUCCGCGCCGCAUUAGCUAGUUGGUAAGGUAACGGCUUACCAAGGCGACGAUGCGUAGCCGACCUGAGAGGGUGAACGGCCACACUGGAACUGAGACACGGUCCAGACUCCUACGGGAGGCAGCAGUAGGGAAUCUUCCGCAAUGGGCGAAAGCCUGACGGAGCAACGCCGCGUGAGUGAUGAAGGUCUUCGGAUCGUAAAACUCUGUUAUUAGGGAAGAACAAAUGUGUAAGUAACUAUGCACGUCUUGACGGUACCUAAUCAGAAAGCCACGGCUAACUACGUG
rnacentral:rRNA from 1 species